GACGAACGCUGGCGGCGCGCCUAACACAUGCAAGUCGAGCGGGGAUUUAAGUGUAAGUUCUUCGGAAUGGAGAUUUAAAUUCUAGCGGCGGACGGGUGAGUAACGCGUGAACAAUCUGUCCCGGACAGGGGGAUAACACUUGGAAACAGGUGCUAAUACCGCAUAAGACCACGGCCUCGCAUGGGGCUGAGGUAAAAGGAGCAAUCCGGUUCGGGGUGAGUUCGCGUCCGAUUAGCUAGUUGGUGAGGUAACGGCCCACCAAGGCGACGAUCGGUAGCCGGCCUGAGAGGGUGAACGGCCACAUUGGAACUGAGAGACGGUCCAAACUCCUACGGGAGGCAGCAGUGGGGAAUAUUGGGCAAUGGGCGAAGGCCUGACCCAGCAACGCCGCGUGAGGGAAGAAGGUUUUCGGAUUGUAAACCUCUGUCCUAUGGGACGAAGGAAGUGACGGUACCAUAGGAGGAAGCCCGGGCUAACUACGUG
rnacentral:rRNA from 1 species